rnacentral:rRNA from 1 species
CAGGAUGAACGCUGGCGGCGUGCCUAAUACAUGCAAGUCGAACGCAUUACUUCGGUAGUGAGUGGCGAACGGGUGAGUAACACGUAGGUAACUUACCUCUAAGACGAGGAUAACGACUGGAAACGGUCGCUAAAACUGGAUAGGAUCAUUUGAGGCAUCUCGAAUGAUUUAAAGGGGCUUUCAAGCCACACUUAGAGAAAGGCCUGCGGCGCAUUAGCUAGUUGGUGGGGUAGAGGCCUACCAAGGCGAUGAUGCGUAGCCGGACUGAGAGGUCGAACGGCCACAUUGGGACUGAGACACGGCCCAAACUCCUACGGGAGGCAGCAGUAGGGAAUUUUCGGCAAUGGGGGAAACCCUGACCGAGCAACGCCGCGUGAGUGAAGAAAGGUUUUCGGAUCGUAAAACUCUGUUGUCAGAGAAGAACAAGUUGGAGAGUAACUGCUCCAGCCUUGACGGUAUCUGACCAGAAAGCCACGGCUAACUACGUGCCAGCCGCCGC